UAAAAAAAAAAGAAAAGAAAAACAUGAGAGGACCUCACAGUUAAAAGAGCAGCAGGCAGAGCCCUGCAAAGUCUUGGGGGGACUGAAUUUAUUCAUGAACUUGGAUUCAUCUCAUCCCCUAAAUACUAUUCUUUAUUUUUAAUUUUUCGUAAGAACUGUAAUAGUGGUGUACGUGUGAAUGGAAUCCAAUGGUGAAAACCUCAAAUUGGAAGUAUUAUAUCUGCGUGGGGGUUGGUUGGCUUGGUAAUUCUGAUUCGUCGAGAGCCCAUCUUUUUUUUGUUUUUUAUUAAUCUUUUUUCUUGCUUCUAUCUGAACUCGAAGGGGAUUGGUGGAAGCUGGUUUUCUCUCAUCAGAAUUCAGAAGCAAAUGUCAUAUGCAUCUUUAUCCACUCUUACAAGGCUUGUUUUCUCUUUAUCUUUCUUUCUUUCAUAUAUAUCCAUUUGUUUUUCUUAUUAUUAUAUUGCAAAAAUAAUUAUUCUACAAUUUUAUCCUGUUUCUGCUUGCUGUUCUGAUGUAACUAAGCUCAUUCACAUUGCAACUUGAAUGCUUCAACCUCAAUUUCUUCUUUUUAUUUAUUUAAUUAUUUAUAUUUAUGUUGCCCUCUUAAUUAUGGGUUUCACUUAAAUUAAUCUUGGUUUUCAGUUUGAUCAUAAUCAGCAAUUUAAACUUAAUUAACUCUCCGCUAAGGUUUUGUUCAGUUGUGUUUGAGUUUCAUUCUUGAAGUCAGAAAUUCUUGAGUUUAUACCUUGUGUAGGGUUUAUUAGAAAAGUUUAUUCAGUUCAAAAUUAGUGAGACCUAAUUGAAUGCAAAUGCACAGGAGAGACCUAAUAGAAUAUAUAGUAUGUAUGAGCAAGAGUUAGCUUUGCUUCUAAAGCACACGCAGUGUACAUAUGGAAGAUGCCAUUGGUGUUAUGGCAGAAUAGGAGGAGGAUGUUGUGGCUUUCUAGCAGAGAUUACAGGUAUCAACUGUUCUUCAUGUUUUGGAGUUUUCAAAGUGUUUAAAUUUUUAGCACUUGAUAUGUUCUAUUGACUCGGUGUUCGAAAUUUUUUUUUUCUUUUUGGAUAUCUCACUAAAAAUUUAUAUAUAUAUUUUUAAUUAUCAACAAGUAAAAUACUGUAUUAAAAGUUUGAGUAUUUAUAUAGUGAAACUAGCUGGUGAAUGGUGAAGGCCUUUUUUUUAUUUUAUUUUAUUUUAUUUUAUUUUAUUUUAUUUUAUUUUA
rnacentral:misc_RNA from 1 species